UACGAAGGGGGCUAGCGUUGCUCGGAAUCACUGGGCGUAAAGCGCACGUAGGCGGAUUGUUAAGUCAGGGGUGAAAUCCUGGAGCUCAACUCCAGAACUGCCUUUGAUACUGGCGAUCUCGAGUCCGGGAGAGGUGAGUGGAACUGCGAGUGUAGAGGUGAAAUUCGUAGAUAUUUGCAAGAACACCAGUGGCGAAGGCGGCUCACUGGCCCGGUACUGACGCUGAGGUGCGAAAGCGUGGGGAGCAAACAGG
rnacentral:rRNA from 1 species